AUUGAACGCUGGCGGCAGGCUUAACACAUGCAAGUCGAACGGGUGGCGGACGGGUGAGUAAUGCUUGGGAAUCUAGCUUAUGGAGGGGGAUAACUACGGGAAACCGUAGCUAAUACCGCGUACCAUAGGAUGAGGCCAAGUGGGAUUAGGUAGUUGGUGGGGUAAAGGCUCACCAAGCCGACGAUGCUUAGCUGGUCUGAGAGGGUGACCAGCCACACUGGGACUGAGACACGGCCCAGACUCCUACGGGAGGCAGCAGUAGGGAAUCUUGCGCAAUGGACGCAAGCUGACGGAGCCACGCCGCGUGAGUGAAGAAGGCCUUCGGGUUGUAAAGUUCUUUCGGUAGGGAGGCGUUACCUACAGAAGAAGCACCGGCUAACUCCGUGCCAGCAGCCGCGGUAAUUC
rnacentral:rRNA from 1 species